GACGAACGCUGGCGGCGUGCCUAAUACAUGCAAGUCGAACGCACUCUCGUUUAGAUUGAAGGAGUUUGCUCCUGAUUGAUAAACAUUUGAGUGAGUGGCGGACGGGUGAGUAACACGUGGGUAACCUGCCCUAAAGUGGGGGAUAACAUUUGGAAACAGAUGCUAAUACCGCAUAAAACCUAACACCGCAUGGUGUAGGGUUGAAAGAUGGUUUCGGCUAUCACUUUAGGAUGGACCCGCGGUGCAUUAGUUAGUUGGUGAGGUAAAGGCUCACCAAGACCGUGAUGCAUAGCCGACCUGAGAGGGUAAUCGGCCACACUGGGACUGAGACACGGCCCAGACUCCUACGGGAGGCAGCAGUAGGGAAUCUUCCACAAUGGACGAAAGUCUGAUGGAGCAACGCCGCGUGAGUGAAGAAGGUCUUCGGAUCGUAAAACUCUGUUGUUGGAGAAGAAUGUAUCUGAUAGUAACUGAUCAGGUAGUGACGGUAUCCAACCAGAAAGCCACGGCUAACUACGUG
rnacentral:rRNA from 1 species